AGAGUUUGAUCCUGGCUCAGGAUGAACGCUGGCGGCGUGCUUAACACAUGCAAGUCGAACGCACCUUCGGGUGAGUGGCGGACGGGUGAGUAACGCGUGGGAAUCUGCCCUUAGGAGGGGGAUAACGGCUGGAAACGGCCGCUAAUACCCCAUAUGCCGAGAGGUGAAACGAAUUUCGCCUGAGGAUGAGCCCGCGUCUGAUUAGCUAGUUGGUGGGGUAAGAGCCCACCAAGGCGACGAUCAGUAGCUGGUCUGAGAGGAUGAUCAGCCACACUGGGACUGAGACACGGCCCAGACUCCUACGGGAGGCAGCAGUGGGGAAUUUUCCGCAAUGGGCGAAAGCCUGACGGAGCAACGCCGCGUGAGGGAUGAAGGCCUCUGGGCUGUAAACCUCUUUUCUCAAGGAAGAAGACAUGACGGUACUUGAGGAAUAAGCCACGGCUAAUUCCGUGCCAGCAGCCGCGGUAAUACGGGAGUGGCAAGCGUUAUCCGGAAUUAUUGGGCGUAAAGCGUCCGCAGGCGGCUCUGUAAGUCUGUUGUUAAAGCGUGGAGCUCAACUCCAUUUCAGCAAUGGAAACUACAGGGCUUGAGUGUGGUAGGGGCAGAGGGAAUUCCCGGUGUAGCGGUGAAAUGCGUAGAUAUCGGGAAGAACACCAGUGGCGAAGGCGCUCUGCUGGGCCAUAACUGACGCUCAUGGACGAAAGCCAGGGGAGCGAAAGGGAUUAGAUACCCCUGUAGUCCUGGCCGUAAACGAUGAACACUAGGUGUCGGGGGAAUCGACCCCCUCGGUGUCGUAGCCAACGCGUUAAGUGUUCCGCCUGGGGAGUACGCACGCAAGUGUGAAACUCAAAGGAAUUGACGGGGGCCCGCACAAGCGGUGGAGUAUGUGGUUUAAUUCGAUGCAACGCGAAGAACCUUACCAGGGUUUGACAUCCUGCGAAUCCCUUGGAAACUUGGGAGUGCCUUCGGGAGCGCAGAGACAGGUGGUGCAUGGCUGUCGUCAGCUCGUGUCGUGAGAUGUUGGGUUAAGUCCCGCAACGAGCGCAACCCACGUCUUUAGUUGCCAGCAUUCAGUUGGGCACUCUAGAGAGACCGCCGGUGAUAAACCGGAGGGAGGUGUGGAUGACGUCAAGUCAUCAUGCCCCUUACAUCCUGGGCUACACACGUACUACAAUGCUACGGACAGAGGGCAGCAAGCUCGCGAGAGUUAGCAAAUCCCAUAAACCGUGGCUCAGUUCAGAUCGUAGGCUGCAACUCGCCUACGUGAAGGAGGAAUCGCUAGUAAUCGCAGGUCAGCAUACUGCGGUGAAUACGUUCCCGGGCCUUGUACACACCGCCCGUCAC
rnacentral:rRNA from 1 species